UACGGGGGGGGCAAGCGUUGUUCGGAAUUACUGGGCGUAAAGCGCACGUAGGCGGAUUGUUAAGUCAGGGGUGAAAUCCUGGAGCUCAACUCCAGAACUGCCUUUGAUACUGGCGAUCUUGAGUUCGGGAGAGGUGAGUGGAACUGCGAGUGUAGAGGUGAAAUUCGUAGAUAUUCGCAAGAACACCAGUGGCGAAGGCGGCUCACUGGCCCGAUACUGACGCUGAGGUGCGAAAGCGUGGGGAGCAAACAGG
rnacentral:rRNA from 1 species